GACGAACGCUGGCGGCGUGCUUAACACAUGCAAGUCGAACGGAAAGGCCUGAUCGGAGGUACUCGAGUGGCGAACGGGUGAGGAAGACGUGGGUGAUCUGCCCUGCACUCUGGGAUAAGGCUGGGAAAGUGGGUCUAAUACCGGAUAGGACCGCACUUUAGAGCGUGAGGUGGAAAGUUUUUUGGGGGUAGGAUGAGCUCGUGGCCUAUCAGCUUGUGGGUGGGGUGAUGGCUGACCAAGGCGGGGACGGGUAGCCGGACUGUGAGGUUGGUCGACCACAUUGGCUCUGAGAUACGGCCCAGGCUCCUACGCGUGGCAACUGUGGGGAAUCUUGCACAAUGGGCGCCGGCCUGGUGCAGCGGCUCCUCGUGUGGUAUGACGGUCUUCGUGUUGUAAACCCCUUUCGCCAGUGACUAUGCGUUUUGUGACGGUACCUGGAGAAGAAGCACCGGCUAACUACGUG
rnacentral:rRNA from 1 species